rnacentral:misc_RNA from 1 species
UUAACGAUUGUUUUUUUCUGACGCUGAUUGCAACUGCAAAGGGUUUAUGGUUGUCCGAUCGGCAGGCAAGCCCGCCGAGGAAACGUGUGGUACGCAAAAGACAAGGGUAUAGCAGGGACCGAAGUCCGCUGAUAUUGAUAAUGAUCCUUCCGCAGGUUCACCUACGGAAA